rnacentral:rRNA from 1 species
CGAGAAGCGAACCUGCGAAGGCAAGCGGAUCUCUUAAAGCCGUUCUCAGUUCGGACUGUAGGCUGCAACUCGCCUACACGAAGCUGGAAUCGCUAGUAAUCGCGGAUCAGCACGCCGCGGUGAAUAUGUUCCCGGGCCUUGUACACACCGCCCGUCACACCAUGAGAGUUUGUAACACCCAAAGCCGGUGGGGUAACCUUUUGGAGCCAGCCGUCUAAGGUGGGACAGAUGAUUGGGGUGAAGUCGUAACAAGGUAGC